GACAGAGGGUGCAAACGUUGUUCGGAAUUACUGGGCGUAAAGCGAGUGUAGGCGGUCUGUAAAGUCAGGUGUGAAAGCCCCGGGCUCAACCCGGGAAGUGCACUUGAAACUCACAGGCUAGAGUAUCGGAGAGGUUGGUGGAAUUCUCGGUGUAGAGGUGAAAUUCGUAGAUAUCGAGAGGAACACCGGUGGCGAAGGCGGCCAACUGGACGAAUACUGACGCUGAGGUGCGAAAGCGUGGGGAGCAAACAGG
rnacentral:misc_RNA from 1 species